rnacentral:misc_RNA from 1 species
UUUUUCUACCUGAUCCGAGGUCAACAUUUCAGAAAGUUUGGUGUUUUACGGACGUGGACGCGCCGCGCUCCCGGUGUGAGUUGUGCAAACUACUCCGCUGGAGAGGUUGCGGGGAGACCGCCAUUGUCUUUAGGGGCCGGCACCCGUGUGAGGGGUCCCGAUCCCCAACGCCGAUCCCCCGGAGGGGUUUGAGGGUUGAAAUGACGCUCGGACAGGCAUGCCCGCCAGAAUACUGGCGGGCGCAAUGUGCGUUCAAAGAUUAGAUGAUUCGGGGAAUUUGGCAAUUCACAUUACUUAUGACAUUUCGCUGCGCUCUUCAUCGAUGCCAGAACCGAGAUAUCCGUUGUUGAAAGUUUUUAUUCUUUUUGAAUUUUUGCUCAGAGCUGUAAAGAAAUACGUCCGCGAGGGGACUACGGAAAGAGUUUGGUUGGUUCCUCCGGCGGGCGCCUGGUUCCGGGGGCUGCUACUCACCCUGUGCGUGACCCCGCCGAGGCAACAGUUUGGUAACGUUCACAUUGGGUUUGGGAGUUGUAAACUCGGUAAUGAUCCCUCCGCAGGU